UGCCCAGCAACUCCUAUCCCUACCUCCUCGUGGUACCGGCCGGAAACUAUGAGCAACCUUAGGGAUGAUCGGGUAACCAACCCCUGUGGGAACUUUGGUCGUAGGCUGACAGGGAAGG
rnacentral:ribozyme from 1 species